rnacentral:rRNA from 1 species
GUGGGGAAUAUUGGACAAUGGGGGCAACCCUGAUCCAGCCAUGCCGCGUGAAUGAUGAAGGCCUUCGGGUUGUAAAGUUCUUUUGGAGGGGACGAUGAUGACGGUACCCUCAGAAUAAGCUCCGGCUAACUUCGUGCCAGCAGCCGCGGUAAUACGAAGGGAGCUAGCGUUGUUCGGAAUUACUGGGCGUAAAGGGCGCGUAGGCGGUUUGGUUAGUCAGAUGUGAAAGCCCAGGGCUUAACCCUGGAACUGCGUUUGAUACUGCCAAGCUUGAAUUCGGGAGAGGUGAGUGGAAUUCCCAGUGUAGAGGUGAAAUUCGUAGAUAUUGGGAAGAACACCGGUGGCGAAGGCGGCUCACUGGACCGACAUUGACGCUGAGGCGCGAAAGCGUGGGGAGCAAACAGGAUUAGAAACCCGGGUAGUCC